GGACAACCUACCCUCCGGACGGGUAUAAACCCGGGAAACUGGGUAUAAUCCCCGAUAGAUCUCGGUCGCUGGAAUGCCCCGAGAUCGGAAGCUCCGGCGCCAGAGGAUGGGUCUGCGGCCUAUCAGGUAGUAGUGGGUGUAGCGUACCUACUAGCCUACGACGGGUACGGGUUGUGAGAGCAAGAGCCCGGAGAUGGAUUCUGAGACACGAAUCCAGGCCCUACGGGGUGCAGCAGGCGCGAAAACUUUACAAUGCCGGCAACGGCGAUAAGGGGACCUCGAGUGCCAGGUUACAAAUCUGGCUGUCGUGAUGCCUAAAAAGCAUUGCAUAGCAAGGGCCGGGCAAGACCGGUGCCAGCCGCCGCGGUAACACCGGCGGCUCGAGUGGUAACCGUUAUUAUUGGGUCUAAAGGGUCUGUAGCCGGCCGGAUAAGUCUCUUGAGAAAUCCAGCAGCUCAACUGUUGGGCUUUCAGGAGAUACUGUUCGGCUCGAGGCCGGGAGAGGUGAGAGGUACUUCAGGGGUAGGGGUGAAAUCUUGUAAUCCUUGAAGGACCACCAGUGGCGAAGGCGUCUCACCAGAACGGACCUGACGGCAAGGGACGAAAGCUAGGGGCACGAACCGGAUUAGAUACCCGGGUAGUCCUAGCUGUAAACUAUGCUCGCUAGGUGUCAGGGACGGUGCGACCGUUUCUGGUGCCGCAGGGAAGCCGUGAAGCGAGCCACCUGGGAAGUACGGUCGCAAGGCUGAAACUUAA
rnacentral:rRNA from 1 species